AUUGAACGCUGGCGGCAUGCCUUACACAUGCAAGUCGAACGGUAACAGGUCUUCGGAUGCUGACGAGUGGCGAACGGGUGAGUAAUACAUCGGAACGUGCCUAGUAGUGGGGGAUAACUACUCGAAAGAGUGGCUAAUACCGCAUGAGAUCUACGGAUGAAAGCAGGGGAUCGCAAGACCUUGUGCUACUAGAGCGGCCGAUGGCAGAUUAGGUAGUUGGUGGGAUAAAAGCUUACCAAGCCGACGAUCUGUAGCUGGUCCGAGAGGACGAUCAACCACACUGGGACUGAGAAACGGCCCAGACUCCUACGGGAGGCAGCAGUGGGGAAUUUUGGACAAUGGGCGCAAGCCUGAUCCAGCAAUGCCGCGUGCAGGAUGAAGGCCUUCGGGUUGUAAACUGCUUUUGUACGGAACGAAAAGCCCCGGGUUAAUACCCUGGGGUCAUGACGGUACCGUAAGAAUAAGCACCGGCUAACUACGUGCCAGCCGCCGCGGUAA
rnacentral:rRNA from 1 species